CCUACGGGGGGCAGCAGUGGGGAAUAUUGCACAAUGGGGGAAACCCUGAUGCAGCGACGCCGCGUGAAGGAAGAAGUAUUUCGGUAUGUAAACUUCUAUCAGCAGGGAAGAAAAUGACGGUACCUGACUAAGAAGCCCCGGCUAACCACGUGCCAGCAGCCGCGGUAAUACGUAGGGGGCAAGCGUUAUCCGGAUUUACUGGGUGUAAAGGGGGCGUAGGCGGUUUAGCAAGUCAGAAGUGAAAGACCGGGGCUCAACUCCGGGACUGCCUUUGAAACUGUUGAACUAGAUUGUAGGAGAGGUAAGUGGAAUUCGUAGUGUAGCGGUGAAAUGCAUAGAUAUUAGGAAGAACACCAGUGGCGAAGGCGGCUUACCGGACUGUAAAUGACGCUGAGGCUCGAAAGCGUGGGGAGCAAACAGGAUUAGAUACCCUUGUAGUC
rnacentral:rRNA from 1 species